CUACGGGAGGCAGCAGUAAGGAAUAUUGGACAAUGGGCGCAAGCCUGAUCCAGCCAUGCCGUGUGAGUGAUGAAGGCCUUCGGGUUGUAAAGCUCUUUUGGCGGGGACGAUGAUGACGGUACCCGCAGAAUAAGCCCCGGCAAACUUCGUGCCAGCAGCCGCGGUAAGACGAAGGGGGCAAGCGUUGUUCGGAAUUACUGGGCGUAAAGGGCGCGUAGGCGGCCGCUUUAGUCAGGUGUGAAAGCCCUGGGCUCAACCUGGGAAUUGCACUUGAUACUGGGUGGCUGGAGAGCGGGAGAGGAUGGUGGAAUUCCCAGUGUAGAGGUGAAAUUCGUAGAUAUUGGGAAGAACACCGGUGGCGAAGGCGGCCAUCUGGACCGUAUCUGACGCUGAGGCGCGAAAGCGUGGGGAGCAAACAGGAUUAGAUACCCGGGUAGUCC
rnacentral:rRNA from 1 species